rnacentral:rRNA from 1 species
AUUGAACGCUGGCGGCAGGCCUAACACAUGCAAGUCGAGCGGAGCGGCGGACGGGUGAGGAAUGCCUAGGAAUCUGCCUGGUCGUGGGGGAUAACGUCCGGAACCGGGCGCUAAUACCGCAUACUAUCAGAUGAGCCUAGGUCGGAUUAGCUAGUUGGUGGGGUAAAGGCCUACCAAGGCGACGAUCCGUAACUGGUCUGAGAGGAGGAUCAGGCACACUGGAACUGAGAAACGGUCCAGACUCCUACGGGAGGCAGCAGUAGGAAAUAUUGGACAAGGGGCGAAAGCCUGAUCCAGCCAUGCCGCGUGUGUGAAGAAGGUCUUAGGAUUGUAAAGCACUUUAAGUUGGGAGGCGUUACCAACAGAAUAAGCACCGGCUAACUUCGUGCCAGCAGCCGCGGUAAUUC